UACGUAGGGUGCAAGCGUUAAUCGGAAUUACUGGGCGUAAAGCGUGCGCAGGCGGUUAUGCAAGACAGAUGUGAAAUCCCCGGGCUUAACCUGGGAACCGCAUUUGUGACUGCAUAGCUGGAGUACUGGCAGAGGGGGAUGGAAUUCCGCGUGUAGCAGUGAAAUGCGUAGAUAUGCGGAGGAACACCGAUGGCGAAGGCAGCCCCCCUGGGUCAAGAUUGACGCUCAUGCACGAAAGCGUGGGGAGCAAACAGG
rnacentral:rRNA from 1 species